CAAUUUGUGUCGAUUUUUCACCUGCCGAACUUCAUCAAGUUCGACCUUAGAGGCAACAGUCCCUUCACCAAGGAACUUCUUUUCCAAAAAGAUUGCCUUAAGGCUGACAAACACUUUUUGCUCAUCAGCUAGGUAGAAGUAAUACCCUUUGGUCUCUUUUGGGUAUCCUAUAAAAUUACACUUGUCAGAUCUAGGUCCAAGCUUGUCCGUAAUUAAACGAUCCUGACUGCAAAAAAUUGGAAUAGGAGUGGUGAUGAUCCGAUAAUCAAGCAGACCACCAAAUAGUCUAGUGAUCUCUUGUGCUCUCUAGCCUAUACCAUCAACGUUGAGUAGAUCGCAGACAGGCAGAUGAUCAUCCACCAAACUGCUAAUAUAGAUCGGCCAG
rnacentral:lncRNA from 1 species